AAGUCGUAACAAGGUUUCCGUAGGUGAACCUGCGGAAGGAUCAUUAUCAAUGAUUUUAAAUAUCAUAAACACUUUGUGAAUUUGGAAGUCCCGUACGGGACAAAGUUUAAACUUUUUUUGUUUUUUAUUUUAAUAUAAAAUGACAACUUUUAGCAACGGAUCUCUAGGUUCUC
rnacentral:misc_RNA from 1 species